UGCUGUGCACAUGGCCUGCGUCGGGCUCACUGUUUCUCAGAGCCCCUGGCAUCGCCACCGCCCUGUCCUGGGGGCUGGUGGAACUGAAAGCUCGCCUGAGGAGCUGAGCUCUGCCCGGGGACUGCUGGAAAUCGAAGGGAAUCGACUUGAGCCUGCUUAGGGCGAGGUGAUCCUCGGUGAUGGAUGGAGGCAGCACUAAUCCACUGCCUCUCGCCCGGCAGAUGCUUUUUGCUCAUACUUGUCCUGAUCCUACAUGCAGUGUCACAUUUUUGGGAUGUGGCCCUGUGUUAUCUGACUGCCCGGCUCUGUUUCACCCUGCUGCACCCCGGGGCUGCUGCUGGCCUGGUGGGGAGCAGCACGGGGCUGUGGUGAGGGGCUGCUCGCUGAGAAGGCACCUGCAAAGAACAGGAACGGGUCGUCGCACAAGGAAGCAAAAGCGUUGUUUUCCUCCUUUAUUGAACUUUGGCAAAUAAUAUGUGUGUGUGGUUUUUACAUCAAUAGCUAUAAAUAAAAAUUUGAAAACAA